rnacentral:lncRNA from 1 species
AGAACAAACCAGCUUUCCAUUAUUACACGAAUAUGAAUACAAGGUCUCUGAUAUUACAAUGAAUAACAUCGGCACGGCGACACUACGCCAUCCUCAGUUGCUCUAUGCAAGCAGCAGAACAACUCAAAGCGGCGGAAUAACUCUAGCAGCGGAACAACGACGACAGUGAUGAACUCCACUCCGCAGGGACUCUGGCUGGAACGCUUAUCCUAGCUCGCACGAACGGAAACCACGACAAGCAAGCAACCAAAUCCGACAUGACCUGCAAACUGGCAUGACACGCCAGGUCAGUACAUUGAAUGUACUUGCAAGCUCACAAUAACCAGAAGCAUUCAAGGCAAACAACAGCAUGGCAAUUACAGGUUAAGCAGAGAUUAUCAUGAUAUCAUCAAAACAAUAUAACAUGAACAUGAUACAGCUAACACAACAUGAACAUAUUAAUCCAACAAUACUAGCAUGUAACAUGAUGACACUAUAUGCACCACUUAUUCCGCUCGCGUUACUUGGUAACCAUCACAUGCAUCACUUACCAACCUCGGACAUCACACGAUCAUCUCAAGAUCAAAUCAAGCUUGGUAUAAACAAUACCGUAGCGAGGAGCUUGAUCUUUACCCACGACUCUCGCACAACAUCACGAGUAUACAACAACUCGGUAUCCUCGAUACCACGAUGAUCUUUACGGCGAUCACAACCACGACCAACACUUGGCCCAUGAUCCUUACGGCGAUCACAACCACGACCAAUACUUGGCCCGUGAUCCUUACGGCGAUCACAACCACGACCAAUACUUGGCCCGUGAUCCUUACGGCGAUCACAACCACGACCAAUACUUGGCCCGUGAUCCUUACGGUGAUCAAAACCACGACCAAUACUUGGCCCGUGAUCCUUAUGGUGAUCAGAACCACGGGUUGUCAUUAAUCAAGUUAUUCUUAUUACUGUUGACUCACGAUGUGACCUACUUUCGAACUAGGCCCUUAACCACGGGCGCUGCUAUCGAUAGAUUUAAUACACACUCUGCAGAGGUUAGUACACUGUACCCACACUACGGAACCCAUGGCCUCGCACUCCCAUUCGGGUGGACCAACGGCGUUCCGACAAAACCGUCCUAUUGCCAUGACACUCUCCCGGCCACUCCGACCAACUCCCCUUUGGGCUAAGUCAUGGGUGGCCCCGUGUCUACCACAAGACACAACGACCACCGUCGUGGCCACGAUCCACUCUGGGACCCGGAUCCAUAAAAUCAUCAACGGGCACACAAGGUUAUGUCCGCCUACCUGAUCAGGGUAGCGCGCGCCCAUAACCUUCCCUCGUUGGAGGCACCGGCGAGAGGCACAACAAUAGACCCAGUUAGGGCCGUCCCAUACCGGCAAGCAUGGUUGCACUGGUCAGCUCGAUUCAGCGGCACCAUGACUCAGCCAACAGUUGUUAAAGUUCAAUUUAAUCCGGUUAAACUUGAAUGCAAAUAUGCUGAGCCAUGAUAAAAUAACAUGAUGCCAAUUACAAUGCAUGAACAUGAUAUCAACAUAAUCAUGACGGUAUCACAUAACUAUCCACCAUAUCAAUAAUGAACCAUAUCCACCGAGCAUGGCAUACUGACUAGCAUGAACAUCACCAACAUCAACAUGUACUACUAGCAAGUAUAAACAUAUGAAAGGAAAUAAUAGCAGGUAGAACAUGAUAACAGAGUACACGACAACAUAGCACAAAAGUGAGCAUGCAAAUCUAACAUCACCGGAACAACGAUAACCAUCUUUUCAACAAGCAACCAUUUAAUAAAGAUUCAAGUUGAAAACCAUGGCUACUGCAUGACUAUCAUGCAAGUGGGUAUUGUGGCUUGCCUGGGGUGGAAGAAGUCACCGGGAGAAAGUGCGAGAAACUCGCGGAACGAAUCGCCGGAAAACGUACUCUCUCGGAGGGGGCUGAAUAAGGGCAAGGGCAUAAUGGUUAUUUUACAGUGUCAAACCAUAGUGAAAAUCAAACUAACAGAACGGGCUCGACGAAACGAAGAAGUAGGCUUUGGAAUCACCUCAUUUGGAGCUACGGUUAAAAAGUUAUGGAGUGUUUUCUGCUAGGGACCUAUCUGCAAGAAAAACAUUUUCAAACAGGGGCCUGGACAGAAAAACUGAAAGCGUAAUCAGGGAAAUACGCUUUCACCUUAUCCACUCGAACAGUGGCGAGGCCGGCCUGGGCCGCUGACGUGCGGGUCCCACGGGCUGGGGCCCGUCACUUAUCCAGAUGGACCGGGCGGCGUCAACGCCGCAGCCAUUGAC